AUUUUAAUAAACAAAAAUGUUGUUUUAUUUAAUCUCUCCCUUUAAGUUUUAGGUUGCAUGGUAAUUUAGGGCAUACCACUUGUAUUAGUCUAUUCUCAGACUGCUAUAAAGAAAUACCUGAGACUGGGUAACUUAUUAGGAAAAGAGGUUUAAUUGGCUCAUGGUUCCACAGGCUGUACAAGAAGCAUGGCUGGGGAGACCUUGGGAAACUUACAAUCAUGGUGGAAGGUGAAGGGGCAGCAGGCCAGAGCAGAAGGAAGAGAGAGAGGGGAGAGGUGCCACACACUUUUAAACAAACAAAUCUCAUGAGCACUCACUCACUAUCACUGAGCAGCACUGAGGGGCAAACUGCCCCCAUGAUCCAAUCCCCUCCCACCAGGCCCCACCUCCAACACUGGGGAUUACAAUUUGACAUGAGAUUUGGGUGGGGAUGCAGACCCAGACUAUAUCACCACUCUUUAUUAGGAAACUCUGUAAACUUAACUAUUUGGGAAAAAUAAAUGUAUUCGAUUUCUUUCACUGAACAUAAGCAUAGAAUGACAUACCAUUUUUAUCAGCAUUUCUGUUAAAUUUUCUUGGGACUUAAAUUUAAAAAUUCUCCAAGCCAUCUUAGUUUUAAAAUUAAAAGAGUAUCUAUCAUUUAUAGCACUCACACUCCUGGGAUACUAAUUAGUGAACAAUUCAUCUGGAAAAUUAAAGAUGUUCCAGAAAGUGUUACUAAAAUAGGUGUUUGUUUUUUUUUUUUUAAGUCUUUAUAUGAGGAGAACUAGACUCAACUAAUGAGCAGCUGAAAGAAUACAUUCUUAUUCUAUGAGAUUAUAUAUUUAUAACAGAAAAUAAAAAGUAUGCUACUAUGGAUGGCAUUGCAAUACGGCAAUACAGUAGAACAAAAUCCUAUAGGGAAUAGGUAGUUCCCAGUUGCCUGAUGCCUUCCACUAGCACGAUGAGGUGAUCUGGUGUUAUAUCGAACCACUGGAAAGGAUUGAAAUGACCUAGCCCUGAGGAAAUCAUCCAUUGCCUUAUAUCCCCCAGAAUCUCUGUUUUCUCUUAUGGUAGAUAAAGAAUUUAGAGCAAUAUGAUUCUUCCAAUGCUACAGGUUUAUAGCUCUGGCAGGUCCUAGCUCCAUGUGGACAUUCCAUAUUGCCCUGCUAUUCCCACUACAAAUCUUUCCUUUUCUUCUUUCACUUACUGGUUACUUGCUAUGUUUUUUUUUCUUUUUUCUUUCUUUCUUUUUCUUUCUUUUUUUUUUUUUUUUUUUUUGAGACAGAGUUUCACUGUUGUUGCCCAGGCUGGAGUACAGUGGCGGGAUCUCAACUCACUGCAGCCUCCGCCUUCCCAGUUCAAGCAAUUCUCCUGCCUCUCAGCCUCCCAAGUAGCUGGGAUUACAAGCGUGUGCCACUAUGCCCGACUAAUUUUGUAUUUUUAGUAGAGAUGGGGUUUCACCAUGUUGGUCAGGCUGGUCUCGAACUCCUGACCUCAAGUGAUCCACCCGCCUGGGCCUCUCAAAGUGCUGAGAUUACAAGCGUGAGCCACUGCGUCCAGCCUGCAAACUCUUUUUCUUAUCCUCAUUCCUAACACCUCAUCUUGGCCUCUUACUUCAGACACUUGAUGACCAGACCCUUUUAGACCAAAAAUCAUGCCUUAUUAUAAUUAGUACCUCUAGCACUAGCACUUAGCCAAAUGCCCAGUAUAUAGUAGAAAUUAGAUAAGUGCUUGGUGAAUGAACGAUGUAUAAAUAAAGAAGUAGAUGAAUAUUAAAGGGUGAAUGAUAAAUGUCUGGGAUAAAGAAUUUUUCCUUCAUAUCACUGAAAAAGUAGAAGAUAGGUUUUUGAUGAAAAUUCCAUUUUUCAAUGAUAACAUAGUACUAUAUAGAAAGCUACUAUAUUUUUAAAAAUUAAUGUAUUACUCUACUUCACAAACAACAUGGAUAAAGUAAACUUUUGUGGCCUGUUUAUUCCUGUUGUGAUAACUUGACACUUUGAACAUUCUGAGUGGUGCUCUCAUCUUGAAAACCCUGACUAGUGCAUGGCUUGUAUAUCUGCUUUUUGUGUUUAUGAAUUGGAGAAUAUCCGAAAGAUAAAGUAGAAAUUAACUUUCGGUACUAUAAGUCUAACAUGACUUGUAAUGUUUUAUGGAGGUUUUAAAUGCUGAUAAUCAUGGGCUAACAAACAGAAUGCAGAUCUCCACCCUAUCUAGGUCUAGAACAUGCUGUUUAGAGAAGUGUUGCUAUAUGUCAAAAGGAAGAAAAUGUUCUGUGACUCCAAAGGUACAGUCACCAGGGUCAAGAUUUCAGGACCCAAGGUAGCAGUUGCCAGGGUCAAGAUUUCAGUUCAACUUAAAAGAAAGCCAAGCCUUCCAACAACGGAAUGAGGCUCCUCCUAAAGUAGCCAGCUCAGCCACCAUUGUCCAUAUUCAAGAAACAGCUAUAUUUGGUAUUUGUACAAAAGUUUAAAAUAAAACUGACCAAAAGACUUACAUGUUAAACCUGAAGAAUUCUGGGCCACCCUGAGGCCUUCUCUGCCCAUUGAACAGCCACCCUAAAGGAGAUUUUGACUGAUGGUUUUCUUUACAGGGUGGUUCAGGGGUUUAUCUAGUCCAUCCAUCCAUCCUACCAUUCAACCAUCCAUCCUACCAUUCAACCAACCAUCCAUUUGUCCAUCCAACAUCUAACCAUUCAUUCAUUCAUUAUCCUUAUAAAAAAAAUUCCCUCUGAACCCCUCUUUCCCAGAAGCACCAUCCUCAUGGUUCCCAUGACAUUAUCUUUCCCUGUGUCCUCCCUUCCUUGCUGCUGCUCAGACAUUAUUGUCCUCAUUUAGCACCCUCCCCUGCACACACUGUAGGAUGUGCAUAUUCUACAAAGUCUAACCACUCAUUCUGACUUAUUUCCUCUCUAUGAGACAAACUCCUCAGAAAUCUUGGGAAUAUGUUUCUUCUGUUGUCACUCACAUUUAUUAUUUUAUUUGUAUAACAACCUGAGAAGAAGGCAGCGUUAAUAUUAGUAUCCCCAUUUUGCAGAUGUGGAAACUGAGACCCAGAGAAAUUCUCUUACCUGCCCAUGCUCACAUGAUGACAGUGACCCGAACCUGGGCCCUCUGGUUCCAAGCUUGGUGCUCUUUCCACCACCACAGGCAAAGCCAUCACAGCCUCUGUCAUGGAUGCUGGAUAAUUGGGAUUCGUUGCACAACCUACAUUCUCUGAAAGAUGAUUGACAUCCCUGCAGUUUGUACUGUGUGAAAGUGGCCACGUUGUCAAAACCUGGGCAAACACAAUCUUCUCAAAAGGUUAAUUGGAAUUCAGUUGAAUACAAAGAACGAAGAGUUUUUCUCACAUACUUUUAAUACACAGUUUUAAAGUUAUGAUUGGAAUAAAGUAUUUUAUCUAGAUUAGCACUGACCACUUAUGGUAGCCACCAGCUAUGUGUGGCUAUAGAGCACUUGGAAUGUGGCUAAUCCAAAAUAAGGUAUGCUGUAAGUAUAAAAUAUGCACCAGACAUUUUAAAAUUGUUUUAUUAAGAAAAUGAAUGCAAAAUAACUCAUUAAUUUUUAACUGAUUACCUAUUGAAGCAAUAAUAUUUUGGACGUAUCGGAUUAACUAAAAUAUGAUAGUAAAAUUAAUUUUACUUUUUUUACUUUUUAAUGUGACUACUAGAAAAUAUAAAUUACAUGUAUGGCUCACAUAUUUCUACUGGGCAGCUUUGUUUUCAAAAAAGAUUAGAGGGUGACUCUUCUCAAACAGUUUAAUUAAUGUUAUUUGAAGCUCAUUAGAGUAUGUAUUUAUA
rnacentral:lncRNA from 1 species